rnacentral:lncRNA from 1 species
UGCUGAUCCGCUCCUGACCGGUUUCCCUUGGUUCAGAUGUGCCACUCUCAGCCUCCCUUCAGCAGGAUGCAGUUAACAACCAUGCUGACAAGGAGCGUUGGAGUUGCGGGAAGUACUCUGCGGUGCAGCCUUGGAGCACACUGCUUCCUGCAGUGCAAGAGGCACACAGCCAGCAGGCAGGUGACCCCGACCUCACCGCCUCCAGAUGGAAAGAGCGGGAACGAUGAGGCGAGAAGCGAGAGCGGCGGGAAGCGAAAACGGCGGGAAGAGAGAGACACGUUCUGCGCUCCUAUUGGCUGGCGGGCGGCGGGGACACCUAUAUAAGGCUCACGGGGAAAUGCAAACUCCUUACAGCGUGACAGGAAUCCCACUGCUCUGAGGAAAAGACGGCAAGCGGCAUCCCGGGCUGAGUUACCAACAACUAAUGGAAGAUAAACAAAUGAAACUGAGGAAGUCUGGAUGACAAACGAAAAAGAGGAGCUCUAAAUAGAGGAGCUCCCGCAGAAGACGGCGGAAGAAGCCACGUGUGGAACCGGGCGGCAGGAGGAUGCAAGCAGAGGGAGCAAGAAGAGGAAGCAGAAGACUGCGGCUGGGCUAAGGGAGAGGCGGCCUGGGCAAAAGCAUCUCCCUGUCACCAGGGGCAUAGUCAUGUCGCAGUAGAGCGUUGCCGGCACUUUAGGUG